AUACGAAGGGGGCUAGCGUUGUUCGGAUUUACUGGGCGUAAAGCGCACGUAGGCGGAUUGGUCAGUUAGAGGUGAAAUCCCAGAGCUCAACUCUGGAACUGCCUUUAAUACUGCCAGUCUCGAGUCCGGAAGAGGUGAGUGGAACUCCUAGUGUAGAGGUGGAAUUCGUAGAUAUUAGGAAGAACCCCAGUGGCGAAGGCGGCUCACUGGUCCGGUACUGACGCUGAGGUGCGAAAGCGUGGGGAGC
rnacentral:rRNA from 1 species